rnacentral:rRNA from 1 species
ACAUGCAAGUCGAACGAGAAUCUGUGGAACGGAGCUUCGGCGAAGGGAAGCAGAGGACAGUGGCGAACGGGUGAGUAACGCGUGAGGAACCUGCCUUUCAGAGGGGGACAACAGCUGGAAACGGCUGCUAAUACCGCAUAACACGAUCUGACCGCAUGAUCGGAUCGUCAAAGAUUUAUCGCUGAAAGAUGGCCUCGCGUCUGAUUAGCUAGUUGGCGGGGUAACGGCCCACCAAGGCGACGAUCAGUAGCCGGACUGAGAGGUUGAACGGCCACAUUGGGACUGAGAUACGGCCCAGACUCCUACGGGAGGCAGCAGUGGGGAAUAUUGGGCAAUGGGGGAAACCCUGACCCAGCAACGCCGCGUGAAGGAAGAAGGCUUUCGGGUUGUAAACUUCUUUUACCAGGGACGAAGAAAGUGACGGUACCUGGAGAAAAAGCCACGGCUAACUACGUG